CCUACGGGAGGCAGCAGUGGGGAAUAUUGGGCAAUGGACGCAAGUCUGACCCAGCAACGCCGCGUGAAGGAAGAAGGCUUUCGGGUUGUAAACUUCUUUUAAGGGGGAAGAGCAGAAGACGGUACCCCUUGAAUAAGCCACGGCUAACUACGUGCCAGCAGCCGCGGUAAUACGUAGGUGGCAAGCGUUGUCCGGAUUUACUGGGUGGAAAGGGCGUGCAGCCGGAGAGACAAGUCAGAUGUGAAAUCCACGGGCUCAACCCGUGAACUGCAUUUGAAACUGUUUCCCUUGAGUGUCGGAGAGGUAAUCGGAAUUCUUUGUGUAGCGGUGAAAUGCGUAGAUAUAAGGAAGAACACCAGUGGCGAAGGCGGAUUACUGGACGAUAACUGACGGUGAGGCGCGAAAGCGUGGGGAGCAAACAGGAUUAGAUACCCGGGUAGUC
rnacentral:rRNA from 1 species